CCUACGGGUGGCAGCAGUAGGGAAUCUUCCACAAUGGGCGCAAGCCUGAUGGAGCAACACCGCGUGAGUGAAGAAGGGUUUCGGCUCGUAAAGCUCUGUUGUUGGAGAAGAACGUUCGUGAGAGUAACUGUUCACGCAGUGACGGUAUCCAACCAGAAAGUCACGGCUAACUACGUGCCAGCAGCCGCGGUAGUACGUAGGUGGCAAGCGUUAUCCGGAUUUAUUGGGCGUAAAGCAGGCGCAGGCGGUUGCUUAGGUCUGAUGUGAAAGCCUUCGGCUUAACCGAAGAAGUGCAUCGGAAACCGGGCGACUUGAGUGCAGAAGAGGACAGUGGAACUCCAUGUGUAGCGGUGGAAUGCGUAGAUAUAUGGAAGAACACCAGUGGCGAAGGCGGUCUGCUGGACAGCAACUGACGCUGAGGCGCGAAAGCGUGGGGAGCAAACAGGAUUAGAUACCCGAGUAGUC
rnacentral:rRNA from 1 species